CUUCAGGGAACCGAUCAGGAGGGGCCGUCCCCCGGACCGGUCCUGGCCGUAGGUGGCGAGCAGCGCCUGCGCCUC
rnacentral:antisense_RNA from 1 species